GACAGAGGAGCCAAGCGUUGUCCGGAUUGACUGGGCGUAAAGCGCACGCAGGCGGUCGUGCACGUGGGGUGUGAAAUCUGGCCGCUUAACGGCCAGGCGCCAUCCCAUACGGCGCGUCUGGAGUGAUGCAGAGGUCGGUGGAAUUGCCGGUGUAGUGGUGAAAUGCGUAGAGAUCGGCAGGAACACCCAGGGGGAAACCAGCCGACUGGGCAUCUACUGACGCUGAGGUGCGAGAGCGUGGGGAGCGAACCGG
rnacentral:rRNA from 1 species